CCUACGGCCCGGGCCCCUCUGGCGAGACUGUUCUCGUGAUGUCGGACCGUAUCG
rfam:Sphingomonas sp. Ag1 JX01_contig_83, whole genome shotgun sequence.